rnacentral:lncRNA from 1 species
UUCCUGUUGCAUAUAUUUAAAGAAAAAACAGAGUUGCCAAGUUACAAACCAUUCUCAAUCUCUAACAACUACCGAUUCUAUAGGCAACCUAAUGCUUCGAACUAGCGACCAAUGUCGCCUAUAUCGUAUAGGAGAUCCAAGUUGGAUUCUUCCCGUUUCGUUUCAACGAAACAAGUAGAAAGUUUGAUUUCCCGACCGGACAGAACUUGGUACCUGAGUGAAAGAGGCAACAAGGGGAAGAGAUAAGGUCUCCUUAGAUGUGUAGGAAGGCUAGUGAUGUAGAACAUAUCUCCCCAAUCUAGCUUCUGCUCUUGAGAAACCACAAAGGCUUGUCCAAAACCUUCCAAAUCUCCACAUCUCUGCCAAAACUUCUUCUUCUCUUCCAUUGGAAUGCUGAACCACUCUUUAAUCUCCUUCUUCACUCUCUCCACCAAUGAAUCGCUCACCCCAUGGUUAACCAACUAAUAGCAAAACAAUUUUAUAAAACUGGUUAAAAAUUCAACAUCAAAAGUCACGAAAAUGAUUUUGAUCACAAAACAUGUACUACGUAUACGGACCUGGAAGAAGCCCCAAUCUUUGCAAGCGUCGUGGAGCCUAUCCAGCUCUUGAUCUGAAGAUAGUAGUUUCUCCAAAUCGACCAAAGGAACUUGAGCCGUAGAUUUGACAGUAGCAUCAUCGCGUGGUUCGUGACGGAUGAAACGGGGAGGAACGGAGGUUAGGAGUGGAUCCUUGGCCAGCUCCUGAACGCAUGGCACUGGCAGGGAGCCCCCCAGCUUGGUUAGCUCUUCCAUCUCAAGUUGUAAUUGUCUCUAAUCUAUGCUUUUUAGUUCCUCUUGUAUGUAUAAUGGCAUUAUGGCUCUGGAAAAAACAAAGCAAAAUGACAAAUUUUACCGCCAACGUCGGUUUAGCUGAAUCCCAAUUGCAAGAAGACAAAAGAAGCGAAAGGCUUAUCCUUUUAUCUACGUAUGACUCGUAUAGGGUAUUAAAAUUAUUCGGAAUCCGUUAUUGAUUACUAUAUUGCUCCGUUCAAUCGGGUAGGACGAUACUAAUUUGGCUAUAAAAAUCGAAUAUGUUGAGAUAUUUUGUGAAGAAAAAGAGACCAUCCAACAGCGUAAUAUAUGGAUAGUGUCGGCAGGGUUGAAUAUGAAUGACCCGUUAAAAAGACGUACAGUGAGCUCUGUUUCUAAGGAUAAUUCUUAGAGUUGAUCGUCAUGUCGCCGGCGAAGAAAACUGGAUUGGUUGGUCGGAGCCGUCAGCUGAGGCACCCACAUCAUUAUAUAACAUUUGUUCGUAUAAAAGUCCAAAUUUAUAUCAUUGAUAAGAUAACAACAACUUGAAAAGUAAUUUCGGAAGAAACCCCAAUCUUUGCAAGCGUCGUGGAGCCUAUCCAGCUCUUGAUCUGAGGAUAGUAGUUUCUCCAAAUCGACCAAAGGAACUUGAGCCGUAGAUUUGACAGUAGCAUCAUCGCGUGGUUCGUGACGGAUGAAACGGGGAGGAACGGAGGUUAGGAGUGGAUCCUUGGCCAGCUCCUGAACGCAUGGCACUGGCAGGGAGCCCCCCAGCUUGGUUUGCUCUUCCAUCUCAAGUUGUAAUUGUUUCUAAUCUUUGGUUUUUUUUUCCUCUAUGAAUAAUGUUUUGAUAACAUAAAGAUUGCACGUAUCACUAAUUAAUCGGUAUAGUUAUCCGCGCGAAAACUGUGAGCAAGCAAAGGAUUAUAUAACUUUACCAUUAAAAAACUUCAUUUCAAUUCGUACUUAAUUUAACUCGUUUAUUAAUAAUAUUUAUUGCCCACUUAUUAACACAAAACACGUGGGCCAAUAUUUUUAUGGCCAAUUUAUCUCGUUAUUAAUGGGUUUUAUGGCCCAUUUAGUGGUUGUGAAUCCUCAUGACAUCGACGUAAGACUUGCCAGUGAGCUCCCGUCCGAAAAAUCCUUUGAAGUAGUCUGUUACACUUAUCCUCUUAAACUGGGUUGGGGAGGUGGGAGUAAUUAGGCUCGGAGCUGGGCCCAAAUCUCCGUCUAACCUCGGGCUCAAGAAUGUGGCCACUGAGAUCCUCUCCUUUUUUGAGUUCACGGUAGCUCGAUGUUCGACGCUUUUGUAAACCCCGUUGCUCACAAUCUACACCAUAUAAAAAAAUGAACACACGUGUAACUAAGUGAAAGUCCAGUUUAACUUUUCACCUGUCAGAUCAAAUGUUAACUUUCCAUUUUACCUCCAAAAUGUCGCCCACAUUUACGAUUAACGCAUCCGGCAGAGGCGUAACGGGAACCCAAUAUCCAUCGUUCUUGACCUGUAACCCCGGCGUAUCGCUCGUCACUUGUAGCAGUAUUGUGAGCCCGACAGCGUCAGAGUGUGAGUUGAGACCCAUCACCAGCUCCGGCUGCGGGCACGGUGGAUAAUAGUUCAUUCGAAAUUGCUGCCACCCUUCUUCUCCAAACAACACGUUCAUGUCAGUUCGGUCCAUCCCUAGAGCUUCAGCCAUCAGGUUCAAAAUCUUCAUGGCCAAACUCUUCAGUGCUGCUGAAUAUUCUUCCAAUGUAUUCCUGUUGCAUAUAUUUAAAGAAAAAACAGAGUUGCCAAGUUACAAACCAUUCUCAAUCUCUAACAACUACCGAUUCUAUAGGCAACCUAAUGCUUCGAACUAGCGACCAAUGUCGCCUAUAUCGUAUAGGAGAUCCAAGUUGGAUUCUUCCCGUUUCGUUUCAACGAAACAAGUAGAAAGUUUGAUUUCCCGACCGGACAGAACUUGGUACCUGAGUGAAAGAGGCAACAAGGGGAAGAGAUAAGGUCUCCUUAGAUGUGUAGGAAGGCUAGUGAUGUAGAACAUGUCUCCCCAAUCAAGCUUUUGCUCUUCGGAUACCACAAAGGCUUGCCCAAAGCCUUCCAAAUCUCCAUAUCUCUGCCAAAAC